AAACUGAGCAUAAUNCCUCAUAGAUCAUGGAUGCUNGAAUGCUCCAUGUCCAAAGCUCCCGGCNCCUUAGGAUGAGUCUGCGGCCUAUCAGGUCGUAGUGGGUGUAAUNGACCCACUAGCCAACGACGGGUACGGGCGUUGGGAGACGUCGCCCGGAGAUGGAUUCUGAGACACGAAUCCAGGCCCUACGGGGCGCAGCAGUCGCGAAAACUUGUCAAUGGGGGAAACCCCGAACAGGGGAGUCCAAGUGCUUGCACUUUGUGUAAGCUGUUCGGUUGUCUAAAAAACAUCCGAAGGAAGGGCUGGGUAAGACAGGUGCCAGCCGCCGCGGUAAUACCUGCAGCCCGAGUGGUGAUCGAUUUUAUUGAGCCUAAAGCGUCCGUAGCCGGACUAGUAAACCCUUGGGUAAAUUGGGCAGCUUAACUGUCCAAAUUCCGAGGGGACUGCUAGUCUUGGGACCGGGAGAGGUCAGAGGAACUCCAGGGGUAGGGGCUAAAUCCUGUAAUCCUUGGAGGACCACCAGUGGCGAAGGCGUCUGACUAGAACGGAUCCGACGGUAAGGGACGAAACCCUGGGGCGCGAACCGGAUUAGAUACCCGGGUAGUCCAGGGCGUAAACGCUGCAGGCUUGGUGUCGGGGACCCUACGAGGGUGCCCGGUGCCGGAGUGAAGAUGUUAAGCCUGCCGCUUGGGGAGUACGUCCGCAAGGAUGAAACUUAAAGGAAUUGGCGGGAGAGCAC
rnacentral:rRNA from 1 species